rnacentral:tRNA from 1 species
CUAGUUUAGUAUAAGAUAAGUAUACAAAAUUGUAAAUUUUGGGGUAAAAGUUUUAACUAGA